GAGGGAGACCAGCAGGUGCAGAGACAGGGGUGAGCCCGCAGGUGAUUUGGCAAGAGAUCCUGGGGAUUUCUUUCUGGUGGUUUCUAAUUUACUGCUCAGAAUCAGAGCGAUCAGGUGAGGUGGAGGUCAAGGCAGGAGGUGCAGUUAAUAUGGGCUGCAGGGGAUGGCGCCGCUAGCCAGGUGCAGGGGCAUCUGGGGUCUGGGGAUUUCAGGCAAUGAUGUAGACAGAGAGAGAGGGGAGAGGAUGUUUCCACAUAAGUUUAAAGAAAGAACAACUGAAGGCAGGACUAGCUGAUGGACAGGAGGAAGUAAAGGGCCUAAGAGAUAAGCGCUUUCACUGAAGCCAAAAUAAGUGUUGUGGUGAAGUGGAGAGGUGAGCGGGGAAGAUGGUGGAAGAACUGGAAGGGGCGACGGUGAUCAGAGCAGACAGGUCUGCAUUCAGGUUUCAGAGUCGGAGCGGCUCCGAGCCACGGCCACGUCCAAGCAGUGAAAAAAGUUGGCAGAGUGCUUCCCGGAGACACACGGGCAGAAGAGGAGAUGGAGCAUUGUAAGGCCUUACAAUGUGUCUCAGCUCCCAGUCCCACCCGACAGACCAUCCACAGGCCUGGCACCCGGUAGACAGUUGGUCUUCCUAAAAGCCUGAAGAAGGGGACCCGACACAGUGGAGCUUUCUGGAGUCCAGUGGCUCAGAGGCUCCAGGAUGAAUGACCAUGGGCUUCGCAUAUCCAAAUCCAGCUUCCUACUGUUCUCUGCACCGUGCCACGAGCCUUCCAAAUUGGUCGAGG
rnacentral:lncRNA from 1 species